UAAAAUAAUAAUAAUUCAUUAAAAUAAUUCACACACACACCCUCCAUAUAGCAGCAGCAGCAGUCACCAAAAGAAAGGCCUUUCAGCGGUGGACAUACAACAAAAAGAACUCCAUCAACAGGCACGUCGUGAGCUUCUAAUGCCCGGAAGUAAUCCACCUGCACUUCAACCCGACAGCUGCAGCUCGAGCUAUAAAUUUAUAAUUAAACUUGCCGCGGCGGAUGCUCUGUAAUCAUCAAAUGCUGGUUACAUGGUCAUGGCAACGCCUUAGCACUGGGACUUUUAGAGAACUCAAAUGACAGUCCACGACGCAAAUAAAUAAAAAAAUAAAAAUAAAAAAAAAAAUAAUAAU